CGUGGGCCUCUGCGAGGUGGUAUUUAAGUAUCUCGCUGAGGCUUUUCGGCCUCGUUUUCCUUUCCAUGGUACUGGGGUUCGGGCGCAUGUUUCAACGCUCAAGAAUGGAAGAGAGCCGCCGUGUUAGAUGGAGAAAGCCUAAGCGUUCUGAGUAGCACCAGCCCCCAGCGAAGGGUGUUGUGUUGAGCACAGGGGCGUGAAGAUCGACUGCAAGGCCUGAAACUAAGUGAGGGGUUCCCCCCCCCUUUCUUCCAGAUGUGGUUCAGCUCAAAAGACCUUACGGGUUGGAGGACGGGACAAGCCCUCUCCUUGCAAACUAAGCAUUCCGGUGAUGCUCCAGCAUCUCCUCCCCAAGCCUGAAGAAUCCAACUGCCUCCAGGGGUGAACACAGGUUGUCCUGAUGGUGGUGAUGUGUUCGUCUAUCUUACAGUGCCUGCUGAUGUGCACAGGGCGGAACUCCUGGAAAGAGUAAAGGACAGAGCAGCUUGUUCCCGAGGGCUACCAGAAAGCCUCCAGAGUUAAUCAGGUGCAGUUUCCCACAACCUGCUUACUUGCUCAGAGAUUUAGCACCUUAUCUGCAGUCCAAGAAUGAUUUGAGGUGCCCUCAGCCAUUGCUCUGCUCAGCUCCAGUCCCAAGUCAGGUCUGAAGAAGGAAGAAGGUAUAUGUAAUGGAGACAUCCCAAGCAGACCUCAAGGUGUGUCAACACAGAGCCCAACGCAGGACUUGAACUCUCCAACUGAGAUGACCUGAGCUGGAAUCAAGGGUCAGACGCUUCAUAGACUGAGCCAACCAGGUGCCCCUAAAAAUUAAGUCAAUACCAAAAGGUCUACCUUGGCCAGUCAUUGUCAAUUCAUUUUCUUGGUAUGUAAAUAUAACUGAUUGGAUUCGUCCUGUU